CGGGGCUGGAGGACCUGGCGAGGCGGUUGGCCCUCCGACCAAUCAGAGUGAAUGAGAGGCGGGACUUGAUUAUACCACGUGAUCAUCCUCGCGGACAGCGCGGCUGUGCGGGCGGAGAGCUGUCGAUCCCAGUGAUUAAUGCCAAAGCCCUGUUGCCUGGGGAGAGGGUGAUGUUUGACUUUCUUGUACAGCUGCAGUUUGUGUGGUGAAGGUGUUCCCACAAUGUGGUUGGGAUAUUAAAUCAGAAUAAUUGAAGUUCGGAUCUCAAAGCAAGUUUUUACAGUCAACGGAGUCAUCAGGAUCUGAAUAUCAUUGGCAUUUAACUGUGGAAGGA